GUGCUCACUUCAGCAGCCCAUAUACUAAAAUUGGAAUGAGAUAGAGAAUAUUUGUAUGGCCCCUGCACAAGAAUAACACAAAAAUUUGUGAAGUGUCCCAUAAAAAA
ensembl:snRNA U6 U6 spliceosomal RNA